rnacentral:rRNA from 1 species
UGAACUUUCCAUUAUCUAUUCCGUGGAAUCUUGGGCAAGAUCAUUAAGGGAGCUUGCUCUAGGAUGUUAUCGUCGGACGGGUGAGUCCGAGGGGGUGCUGCGUGGCACACUGGGAAACUCCCCGUUAUUGGAGCUCGUACCGGACCUUCCUUGAACCGCAUGGUUCGGGAUGAAAGACGGUUUCGGCUGUCACUUACAGAUGGACCCGCGGCGCAUUACCUAAUUGGUGGGGUAAUGGCUCACCAAGGCGACGAUGCGUAGCCGACCUGAUAGGGUGAUCAGUCACACUGGGACUGAAACCCGGGCCACACUCCUACGGGAGGGAGCCAUCGGGAAUCUUCCGCAAUGUACCAAAGUCUGACGGAUCAACGGCGCGUGAGUGAUGAAGGUUUUCGGAUCCCAAAGCUCCGUUGUCGUGUAAGAACAUGUGCGAUAGUAACUGCUCGCAACUCGACGGUACCUAACCGUAAAGCCACGGCUAACUACGUGCCCCAGCCGCGGUAAACGUAGGUGGCAAGCGUUGUCCGGAAUUACUGGGCGUAUAGGGAUCUCUUGCGGUUUUCUUCAUUUGAUGUAAAAGCCCCCGGCUCAACCGGGGAGGGUCAUUGGAAACUGGGAAAACUUGAGUGCACAUGAGGAGAGUGGAAUUCCACGUGUAGCGGUGAAAUGCGUAGAGAUGUGGAGGAACACCAGUGGCGAAAGCGACUCUUCUGGUCUGUAACUGACGCUGAGGAGCGAAAGCGUGGGGAGCGAACAGGAUUAGAUACCCCUGGUAGUCCACGCCGUAAACGAUGAGUGCUAAGUGUUAUGGGGUUUCCGCCUUCUUAGUGCUUGCAGCUAACGCAUUAAGCACUCCGCCUGGGGAGUACGGGUCGCAAGACUGAAAACUCAAAGGAAUUGACCGGGGGGCCCUGCACAGCC